rnacentral:rRNA from 2 species
UCCGGUGGUCAUAGCGGUGGGGCCACACCCGUUCCCAUCCCGAACACGGCAGUUAAGCCCACCAGCGCCGAUGGUACUUGGACGGAGACGUCCUGGGAGAGUAGGUCGCCGCCGGAA